AUGGGGUAACUAUGCGGUGCGAGAAGCCAAUUGGGUGCUCGAGGAGACUAUGCGAAGAGAGUAUCCGCAUCUAUUCGAGUCAACGAGUUAAGGUACGGUUAAUUUCGCGAACGAAAUUAUUUUAAGGGGUGGAGAAUGUAAUAUAUCGAAACUUCGGUAAACGAAUAUCGAACUUUAGUUAAAUUGACCAAAGUGCAAGAUUGGUACGCUUUUGAAAUGCCGAA
rnacentral:lncRNA from 1 species